CUGGGGGACUAGAGCCCCUUGAAGGAAGCCGCGUGCGUGCCGGCAUAAGCGCGCAUUGGAAGGGCUGCGCGGGCGGGUGAAGGUCUCCGGGCCAGGCUUCGGGUGGCUUCACCCGGAGAGGCUGGAAGGGGAUGCAGACCUGAUCACGCUUUGCCCCAAGGAAGCGCGGUGGGAUGUGCGUCAGAGUAAAAGAAAAGGGUCGUCGGGGGGCAAUUCUUCCGCUAGGUUCCCGCUGACCAGGACUCGGUCGUGCUGAUUCAAAGCAUUCUGGUCCACGCGACGCCAGUGAUGGCCUGAAGGGGCAGCCCUGCUGGUGUGCAAGGCGGCAUAGGGAUGUCCCAGGUGAGGACGGAGCGCCAGUGCGUCUCCGUUCAGAUCUAGGUGGAGGUAGUGGGACGGAAAUUCUGCUGCAUUCUUCAAAGCUGAAGCGCUCCAGAAGUGAUUUGGAAGAGGUUUCCGUGGGGACAAGUGAUUAAAGCGACAACAUGACCCAGAAAUUUAGCAAAUACUGUAAGUGAUAAUGAAGUCUCUAAUCCUAUGGAACUUUACUCCAAGGAACACACACAAAUCACUUACGACAUUCUUUGCAGUUGAACAAGGGUGUGGGAGACUCAGGUUGCAAGGAAUCCACUCAACUUCUUCCUUGAUGAUAUUUUUCUGGUUUCUU